GUCCUACUUCAUCAAAGUCUCUAUCGUGUAGAGCACUCUCUCUAAUGAAGUUAUGCAAUGUCAUACAAGCAAUAAUUAUCUUGGAUUGUUUGGUAAGCGAAAAAGAAGGGAGACUAAAUAGAACUCUCCACUUCAUUUUAAGCACCCCAAACGAUCGCUCUAUAACAUUGCGUAGCGAAGAGUGUGCAUAGUUGAAUACUUCUUUGCUACCAAUAGGUUGCCUCGCAUUUUGCCAUUCAGAAAUGUGGUACUUCUGACCCUUAUAAGGUGCAAGGUAGCUCUUUCUAUUUGGAUAACCUGAAUCGACAAGAUAGUAUUUACCUGCAGAAACAUGAAAUACAUAAGUUCAAUACGUAAGCCAGUAAUUAAUAGCAUAUGUCAUAAAAACAAGAUAUAUAAUUGUAUACCUUCUGGUGGCUGGGGGAACCUGUCCGCAUAAGUUAUCAAAGUAUCUUGUACUACUCUAGUGUCAUGUACGGAUCUAGGCCAUCCUGUGACAACAAAUGUGAACCUCAUAUCGAAGUCACAAACGGCCAUUACAUUCUGCGAUGUGUAACCGUGCCGUCCAAUAUAUUUGGCUUGCUCUGAGGCCGGGACUGCCGCUGGAAAGUGACUACCAUCAAUUGCUCUUAUGCAGUCCUUGAAGUGUGGCCAAAAUCUCGCCUCUCGCAAACGCGGAUGAAUCUCGGUGAAAUAUGGGUCUUUGGGCUUAAUGAUGUCAGAUGACAUCUUAAACAGUGCAUCAAGGACUUCACUAUACUUGCGACUAAUUGUUUCCAAGGAGUGACCAAACUUAUUUUGUAUUUGCCUAAAGGACUGUGGACCCCCACAUGCCCACAAGAAAAUGCCAAGUGCUUCCAUAGUACUGACACCCCGGCUUGGAAUCAGACCAUAAUUGUCCACCAAUGUGUCAUGCAAUCGUCUAAACACAGUUCGUCGCAUGUGAAACAUAUCGAAGCAGUCGUUACUAUUCUCCAACGUUCUCUCCACCCAUUGAAUACCAGUUUCAACCAAUGUUCUUCUAGGAACCUGACUGAUAUUCCUGCCCCAAACAUCUACAGCACAUAUAGCAAC
rnacentral:lncRNA from 1 species